rnacentral:rRNA from 1 species
CCCUUAGAUGUUCUGGGCCGCACGCGCGCUACACUGACGGAGGCAGCGAGCAUGUCCUUCGCCGAGAGGUGUGGGGAAUCUUGUGAGUCUCCGUCGUGCUGGGGAUAGAUGGUUGCAAUUGUCGAUCUUGAACGAGGAAUUCCUAGUAAGCGCGAGUCAUCAGCUCGCGCUGAUUACGUCCCUGCCCUUUGUACACACCGCCCGUCGCACCUACCGAUUGAAUGGUCCGGUGAAAUCUCGGGACGGCGGCUUGGUCGCUUGCGUCCGACUGCUGAAACUUGAUUAAACCAUAUCAUUUAGAGGAAGGUGAAGUCGUAACA